ACGCUCGACACCUACGGGAAGCAGCAGUAGGGAAUCUUCCGCAAUGGACGAAAGUCUGACGGAGCAACGCCGCGUGAACGAUGAAGGUUUUCGGAUCGUAAAGUUCUGUUGUUAGGGAAGAACAAACUUCGUUUGAAUAAGGCGGAGUCAUGACGGUACCUAACGAGAAAGCCACGGCUAACUACGUGCCGGCAGCCGCGGUAAUCUGAGCGGGCUGGCAAGGC
rnacentral:rRNA from 1 species